rnacentral:rRNA from 1 species
GACGAACGCUGGCGGCGUGCCUAAUACAUGCAAGUAGAACGCACAGUUUAUACCGUAGCUUGCUACACCAUAGACUGUGAGUUGCGAACGGGUGAGUAACGCGUAGGUAACCUGCCUGGUAGCGGGGGAUGACUAUUGGAAACGAUAGCUAAUACCGCAUAAUAUUGAUUAUUGCAUGAUAAUUGAUUGAAAGAUGCUAUUGCAUCACUACCAGAUGGACCUGCGUUGUAUUAGCUAGUAGGUGAGGUAACGGCUCACCUAGGCGACGAUACAUAGCCGACCUGAGAGGGUGAUCGGCCACACUGGGACUGAGACACGGCCCAGACUCCUACGGGAGGCAGCAGUAGGGAAUCUUCGGCAAUGGACGAAAGUCUGACCGAGCAACGCCGCGUGAGUGAAGAAGGUCUUCGGAUCGUAAAGCUCUGUUGUAAGAGAAGAACGGGUGUGAGAGUGGAAAGUUCACACUGUGACGGUAUCUUACCAGAAAGGGACGGCUAACUACGUG